rnacentral:rRNA from 1 species
CAGCAGCCGCGGGAAUACGAAGGGUGCAAGCGUUACUCGGAAUUACUGGGCGUAAAGCGUGCGUAGGUGGUGGUUUAAGUCCGUUGUGAAAGCCCUGGGCUCAACCUGGGAAUUGCAGUGGAUACUGGGUCACUAGAGUGUGGUAGAGGAUAGUGGAAUUUCCGGUGUAGCAGUGAAAUGCGUAGAGAUCGGAAGGAACAUCAGUGGCGAAGGCGGCCAUCUGGGACAACACUGACGCUGAGGCACGAAAGCGUGGGGAGCAAACAGGAUUAGAUACCCCCGUAGUCCCUGUCUCUUAUAC